UUAAAUUCUAUGAGUGGAAAUAGUAGGCAAGACAUGAAACUAUAGCGAGUUGGGAAUGGUGGAAGCCUAACGUGGAUUGCUUGUUGAAUGGUUCCAUGAGAAGCAGUGUGAAAUCCCUUGAGAGUAUCACUAGCCGUAGGUCUUACGUUAUAAAGACAGGGUAUCGAAUUAGCAAGGCUAUUUCUGUACCUGAAAGAGUGAGAUAGAUUAUACUAUCUAAAAUAGGUGGCAACACGGAAUAUAAGCAUUUCGUCCUAUAGGCAUGGACGAGGUGCUUUUUUAAUUAAUAAUGUUGCAGACUUUUUAAGCAAUAAUCUAUCUAAUUAGGGUGGCACCGCGAAAACAUAGACAUUUCGUCCCUUUU
rnacentral:ncRNA from 1 species